rnacentral:rRNA from 1 species
UACGUAGGGUGCGAGCGUUGUCCGGAAUUAUUGGGCGUAAAGAGCUCGUAGGCGGUUUGUCGCGUCGACUGUGAAAACCCGAGGCUUAACCUCGGGCCUGCAGUCGAUACGGGCAGACUAGAGUUCGGUAGGGGAGACUGGAAUUCCUGGUGUAGCGGUGAAAUGCGCAGAUAUCAGGAGGAACACCGGUGGCGAAGGCGGGUCUCUGGGCCGAUACUGACGCUGAGGAGCGAAAGCGUGGGGAGCAGACAGG